rnacentral:rRNA from 1 species
UGGGGGAUAUUGGUCAAUGGGGGAAACCCUGAACCAGCGACGCCGCGUGAGGGAAGACGGUUUUCGGAUUGUAAACCUCUGUCUUUGGGGACGAUAAUGACGGUACCCAAGGAGGAAGCCACGGCUAACUACGUGCCAGCAGCCGCGGUAAUACGUAGGUGGCAAGCGUUGUCCGGAAUUACUGGGUGUAAAGGGAGCGUAGGCGGGGCUGUAAGUUGGAUGUUAAAUCUACGGGCUUAACUCGUAUCAGCAUUCAAAACUGUGGCUCUUGAGUGAAGUAGAGGCAGGCGGAAUUCCUAGUGUAGCGGUGAAAUGCGUAGAUAUUAGGAGGAACACCAGUGGCGAAGGCGGCCUGCUGGGCUUUUACUGACGCUGAGGCUCGAAAGCAUGGGUAGCAAACAGG